GUGGGGAAUAUUGGACAAUGGGCGAAAGCCUGAUCCAGCCAUGCCGCGUGUGUGAAGAAGGUCUUCGGAUUGUAAAGCACUUUAAGUUGGGAGGAAGGGCAGUAAGUUAAUACCUUGCUGUUUUGACGUUACCGACAGAAUAAGCACCGGCUAACUUCGUGCCAGCAGCCGCGGUAAUACGAAGGGUGCAAGCGUUAAUCGGAAUUACUGGGCGUAAAGCGCGCGUAGGUGGUUUUGUAUGUUGGAGGUGAAAUCCCCGGGCUCAACAUGGGAACUGCCUGCAAGACUGCAUGACUAGAGUACGGUAGAGGGUAGUGGAAUUUCCUGUGUAGCGGUGAAAUGCGUAGAUAUAGGAAGGAACACCAGUGGCGAAGGCGACUACCUGGACUGAUACUGACACUGAGGUGCGAAAGCGUGGGGAGCAAACAGGAUUAGAAACCCCAGUAGUCC
rnacentral:rRNA from 1 species